UACGUAGGGACCAAGCGUUGUUCGGAUUUACUGGGCGUAAAGGGCGCGUAGGCGGCGAAUCAAGUCAGCUGUGAAAUCUCCGAGCUUAACUCGGAACGGUCAGCUGAUACUGUUUUGCUAGAGUGCAGAAAGGGCAACCGGAAUUCUUGGUGUAGCGGUGAAAUGCGUAGAUAUCAGGAGGAACACCGGUGGCGAAGGCGGCUAUCUGGACAGAGUCUGACGCUGAGGCGCGAAAGCUAGGGGAGCAAACAGG
rnacentral:rRNA from 1 species